rnacentral:rRNA from 1 species
CCUACGGGAGGCAGCAGUAGGGAAUCUUCCGCAAUGGACGAAAGUCUGACGGAGCAACGCCGCGUGAGUGAUGAAGGCCUUCGGGUCGUAAAACUCUGUUGUUAGGGAAGAACAAGUAUCGGAGUAACUGCCGGUACCUUGACGGUACCUAACCAGAAAGCCACGGCUAACUACGUGCCAGCAGCCGCGGUAAU